rnacentral:rRNA from 1 species
UGAGACCCGCCCUGGAGACAACACUCACUCUGAGGUGAGAGAGUGUGAGCGCACACAGGUUUAGAUCCCUUGGUAGUCCACUCUGUAAUCGAUGUAGACUAGGAGCUUGUGCCCUUGAGGUGCCAUUCCGUAGUUAACGCGUUAAGUCGCCCGCUUGGGGAGUACGUCCGCAAGGUUAAAACUCAAGUGAUUUGUCGGGGGCCCGCACAAGCGGUGGAGCAUGUGGUUUAAUUCGAUGCAACGCGAAGAACCUUACCUUCUCUUGACAUCCAGAGAAUUCGCUAGAGAUAGCUGGGUGCCUUGGGGAACUGUGAGACAGGUGUUGCAUGGCUGUCGUCAGCUCGUGUUGUGAAAGGUUGGGUUAAGUCCCGCAAGGAGCGCAACCCUUAUCCUUUGUUGCCAGCGGGUAAUGGCGGGAACUCAAAGGAGACUGCCGGUGAAAAACCGGAGGAAGGUGGGGAUGACGUCAAGUCAUCAUGGCCCUUACGACUAGGGCUACACACGUGCUACAAUGGUGUAUACAAAGAGAAGCGAACUCGCGAGAGCAAGCGGACCUCAUAAAGUACGUCGUAGUCCGGAUCGGAGUCUGCAACUCGACUC